GGCCCUACGGGGCGCAGCAGUGAGGAAUAUUGGUCAAUGGGCGGAAGGCUGAACCAGCCAAGUCGCGUGAGGGACGACUGCCCUAUGGGUUGUAAACCUCUUUUAUAAGGGAAGAAUAAAUGCUACGUGUAGCAUGAUGCCUGUACCUUAUGACUAAGCAUCGGCUAACUCCGUGCCAGCAGCCGCGGUAAUACGGAGGAUGCGAGCGUUAUCCGGAUUUAUUGGGUUUAAAGGGUGCGUAGGCGGUUUUUUAAGUUAGUGGUUAAUCGUCUGGGCUUCACCUUGAUUUGCCUUUAAUACUGUAA
rnacentral:rRNA from 1 species